rnacentral:rRNA from 1 species
AAACUUUCAACAACGGAUCUCUUGGCUCUCGCAUCGAUGAAGAACGCAGCGAAAUGCGAUAAGUAAUGUGAAUUGCAGAAUUCAGUGAAUCAUCGAAUCUUUGAACGCACCUUGCGCCUCUUGGUAUUCCGAGAGGCAUGCCUGUUUUGAGUGUCAUGA